CCAAUAGCGUAUAUUAAAGUUGUUGCAGUUAAAAAGCUCGUAGUUGAACUUCAGGCCUGUCCAGAUGGUCCGCCUUAAUUGGUGUGUACUGUCCUUGGGUGGGUCCUACCUUCUGGCGAAGCGGCAUGGCCUUAAUUGGUUGUGUCGGGGAACCAGGACUUUUACUGUGAAAAAAUUAGAGUGUUCAAAGCAGGCAUAUA
rnacentral:rRNA from 1 species